rnacentral:rRNA from 1 species
AACGCGAAGAACCUUACCUGGGCUCGAAUGUAGUGGAAUCGGGUGGAACAUCCGCGUCUCGCAAGAGACUGCUAUAUAGGUGCUGCAUGGCUGUCGUCAGCUCGUGUCGUGAGAUGUUGGGUUAAGUCCCGCAACGAGCGCAACCCUCGUCCAAUGUUGCCAGCGGGUAAUGCCGGGGACUCAUUGGAGACUGCCGGGGUCAACUCGGAGGAAGGUGGGGAUGACGUCAAGUCCUCAUGCCCCUUAUAUCUUGGGCUGCAAACAUGCUACAAUGGCCAGUACAGAGGGCUGCGAGACCGUAAGGUGGAGCGAAUCUCAAAAAGCUGGUCUCAGUUCGGAUUGGGGUCUGCAACCCGACCCCAUGAAGUCGGAGUCGCUAGUAAUCGCGAAUCAGCAACGUCGCGGUGAAUACGUUCCCGGGCCUUGUACACACCGACUGUAC